UACGUAGGGUGCGAGCGUUGUCCGGAAUUAUUAGGCGUAAAGAGCUCGUAGGCGGUCUGUCGCGUCUGCUGUGAAAACCCGAGGCUCAACCUCGGGCCUGCAGUGGGUACGGGCAGACUAGAGUGCGGUAGGGGAGAAUGGAAUUCCUGGUGUAGCGGUGGAAUGCGCAGAUAUCAGGAGGAACACCGAUGGCGAAGGCAGUUCUCUGGGCCGUAACUGACGCUGAGGAGCGAAAGCGUGGGGAGCGAACAGG
rnacentral:rRNA from 1 species